UACAGAGGUGGCAAGCGUUGUUCGGAAUUACUGGGCGUAAAGGGCGCGUAGGCGGUCUUGUCAGUCCCUUGUGAAAUCCCCCGGCUCAACUGGGGAACUGCAAGGGAAACAGCAGGGCUUGAGUUCGGGAGAGGGAAGCGGAAUUCCGGGUGUAGCGGUGAAAUGCGUAGAUAUCCGGAGGAACACCGGUGGCGAAGGCGGCUUCCUGGACCGACACUGACGCUGAGGCGCGAAAGCUAGGGGAGCAAACGGGAUUAGAAACCCCCGUAGUCC
rnacentral:rRNA from 1 species